UACGUAGGGUGCGAGCGUUGUCCGGAAUUAUUGGGCGUAAAGGGCUCGUAGGCGGUUUGUUGCGUCGGGAGUGAAAACUCAGGGCUUAACCCUGAGCCUGCUUCCGAUACGGGCAGACUAGAGGUAUGCAGGGGGAGAACGGAAUUCCUGGUGUAGCGGUGAAAUGCGCAGAUAUCAGGAGGAACACCGAUGGCGAAGGCAGAUCUCUGGGCCGUAACUGACGCUGAGGAGCGAAAGCGUGGGGAGCGAACAGG
rnacentral:rRNA from 1 species